AAAGAAAAAUAUGAAGGCUUUGGCUUCGCGGCCGGCUGAAAUAUUUUUUUCACCCAUGUCUUUUGCGCACUUGUUGUUUCCUGGGCGGGUUCGCCCGCCACCAGGACCAAACCAUAAACCUUUUUUUUAAUGCAGUUGCAAUCAGCGUCAGUAAAAAAUAAUGUAAUUAUUACAACUUUCAACAACGGAUCUCUUGGUUCUGGCAUCGAUGAAGAACGCAGCGAAAUGCGAUACGUAGUGUGAAUUGCAGAAUUCAGUGAAUCAUCGAAUCUUUGAACGCACAUUGCGCCCUUUGGUAUUCCAAAGGGCAUGCCUGUUCGAGCGUCAUUUGUACCUUCAAGCUUUGCUUGGUGUUGGGCGUUUUUUGUCUCCCUCUUGCUGGGAGACUCGCCUUAAAACGAUUGGCAGCCGGCCUACUGGUUUCGGAGCGCAGCACAUAUUUUGCACUCUGUGUCAGGAGAAAAGGACGGUAAUCCAUCAAGACUCUACAAAUUUUAACUUUUGACCUCGGAUCAGGUAGGGAUACCCGCUGAACUUAAGCAUAUCAAUAAGGCGGG
rnacentral:rRNA from 1 species